UUCUCACUGAGGUUGACAACUGAACUCGGGAGAAAAGCCAGUCGGCCUGAAGAAGCAUGUAGGAUCUACCUUGACUCGUGCAAAAGAGCUGAGUGCUGUGAGAAAGCAUUCCGACGCUUUGCAUAUGACUUUGAGGAGUCUGGAGCCAUUAAAGACUGUUCCUUCAACAUGAACCCCAGCUGGGGCCCUAGAUGGUAUCCGUCUUUGCAGGAGGGGAAAGAGGCGUGGGCACGAAGCAACCUCCCUUCUUGCUGCUGAUCCUUAGGGCGAGUCGUGCGUUAAAGGACACUAGUGGCACGCCUGGUCCCUGCUAACCACUUGACACGAGUGAUCUCGUUUCAUCUACAGAACAGGUUGUAAGACUUUUGAAAUCACUGCAGGACGUACCCUCAAGCAAGGGCACACGGAACCCUCUUCCUAAGGUUGGGAAGGUUUUGAAAAAAAGACCCGGGACCUCUGGCAGUGGGAAUCCAGUGACAAAGGCAGUAAAAACAACAGUUUGGGCAUGAACCCCGGCUCUGACACCUACAAAAGGCCCACCAUGGGUGCUGACAGCUUCAUGAUGGGAGAGGAGAGCCCCUAGUCACUCAGCUGCCGUGGCAGGAGAGGAAAACUUAAUGGGCUGAAGAAAGCGAGGAUGCAGUCUGGCUUUGGCUUCUCAGCACGGCCACACGGACAUCUGAGUGUCCACCCCGAACUGUGGUCAGUGAGAAGGUACCAAGUUUCCAUUUUGUCUAAAGGUCAAAAGUGACCCUUGGGGCACCUGGGUGGCUCAGUCGGUUAAGCGUCUGAGUUCAGCUUGGGUCAUGAUCCCACGUCGGGCUCUGUGCUGACAGCUCAGAGCCUGGAGCGUGCUUCAGAUUCUGUGUCUCCCUCUCUCUCUGGCUUCCCCUGCUCAUGCUCCGUCUGUCUGUCUGUCCCUCUCUCUCAAAAAUAAACGUUAAA